GUGGGGAAUCUUAGACAAUGGGGGCAACCCUGAUCUAGCCAUGCCGCGUGAGUGAUGAAGGCCUUAGGGUCGUAAAGCUCUUUCGCUGGGGAAGAUAAUGACGGUACCCAGUAAAGAAACCCCGGCUAACUCCGUGCCAGCAGCCGCGGUAAUACGGAGGGGGUUAGCGUUGUUCGGAAUUACUGGGCGUAAAGCGCGCGUAGGCGGAUUGGAAAGUUGGGGGUGAAAUCCCGGGGCUCAACCCUGGAAUGGCCUUCAAAACGCCCAGUCUUGAGGUCGAGAGAGGUGAGUGGAAUUCCGAGUGUAGAGGUGAAAUUCGUAGAUAUUCGGAGGAACACCAGUGGCGAAGGCGGCUCACUGGCUCGAUACUGACGCUGAGGUGCGAAAGCGUGGGGAGCAAACAGGAUUAGAAACCCUAGUAGUCC
rnacentral:rRNA from 1 species